CGAACGAGCGAAGAGAAGCUUGCUUCUCUGAGCGAGUGGCGAACGGGUGAGUAACGCGUGAGGAACCUGCCUCAAAGAGGGGGACAACAGUUGGAAACGACUGCUAAUACCGCAUAAGCCCACGGGUCGGCAUCGACCAGAGGGAAAAGGAGCAAUCCGCUUUGAGAUGGCCUCGCGUCCGAUUAGCUAGUUGGUGAGGUAAUGGCCCACCAAGGCGACGAUCGGUAGCCGGACUGAGAGGUUGAACGGCCACAUUGGGACUGAGACACGGCCCAGACUCCUACGGGAGGCAGCAGUGGGGAAUAUUGCACAAUGGGGGAAACCCUGAUGCAGCGACGCCGCGUGGAGGAAGAAGGUCUUCGGAUUGUAAACUCCUGUUGUUGAGGAAGAUAAUGACGGUACUCAACAAGGAAGUGACGGCUAACUACGUGCCAGCAGCCGCGGUAAAACGUAGGUCACAAGCGUUGUCCGGAAUUACUGGGUGUAAAGGGAGCGCAGGCGGGAAGACAAGUUGGAAGUGAAAUCCAUGGGCUCAACCCAUGAACUGCUUUCAAAACUGUUUUUCUUGAAUAG
rnacentral:rRNA from 1 species